ensembl:lncRNA
AGGAGCCCUACCUUGCUGGGGGCCAGGGGGCCAGGAAGCAAACACAUCCCAGAGAAGGGAAGAAAGUGGAAGGACAUUCACAAAUGUUUGUCUAAUAGAUCAGAUGUUUAAAUUAAGGAAAGUGGAAAUGAAAACUAGAGAAUAAACCCACUUAAGUGAGCUGGGGGAGACCGAAGAGCUGCCACACCCCCGGAGGCUGCCAUGGCCGAUGGCCCCAGAGAGAAGGAUUCACCAGGAGAUGCUCCAAACCCACAGCAGGCCAGACUGACUGUGACCCACUGACGGGGGCGCUCUUCACUGUUUGCUCAAGGAGAACACCCUAUUGUGCAAAGAAUCCAAGUUACCCUGCAGACAAAAGAUCAGGAAUUUCGAGGAGUUGAAGCGAAGCUCAGCGAGAGAGGAGAUGCCACCAGCAACCACCUGGAACCGGACCAGGCCUCACCGCAAGACCUCACCUGUGACCUUUGCCUUAUUUUGAAGGGCCUCUGGUGCAGAUCCUCGGGAGCCAGGAGUUCUGGGGCACACAGGAGCACCCCCUGUAUUCGGCGGUGGGAGCACCGG